CACGUAGGCGGACUGAUCAGCCAGGGGUGAAAUCCCGGGGCUCAACCCCGGAACUGCCUUUGAUGCUGUCAGUCUAGAGAUCGAGAGAGGUGAGUGGAAUUCCGAGUGUAGAGGUGAAAUUCGUAGAUAUUCGGAGGAACACCAGUGGCGAAGGCGGCUCACUGGCUCGAUACUGACGCUGAGGUGCGAAAGCGUGGGGAGCAAACA
rnacentral:rRNA from 1 species